CCGGCCCCUCACACGGGAUAGCCGGGAAGGAGCUGGGAAGGGUUUGGAGCACUGGGAUUGUCACACGGGAUAACCGUGAAGGGUUUGGAGCACCGGGACCCUCACACGGGAUAACCGUGAAGUGUUUGAAACACGGGGACCCUCACACGGGACACGGGGAAAGGGGCUGGAAAGGGUCGGGAUCCCCAUGAGAGGCUGAGGGAGCUGGGAAGGGGCUGGAGAAUCCCUGAGGAGCUGGGAAGGGGCUGGAGAAUCCCUGAGGGAGCUGGGAAGGGGCUGGAGAAUCCCUGAGGGAGCUGGGGAGGGGCUGGAGAAUCCCUGAGGAGCCGGGAAGGGGCUGGAGAAUCCCUGAGGAGCUGGGAAGGGGCUGGAGAAUCCCUGAGGAGCUGGGAAGGGGCUGCAGAAUCCCUGAGGAGCCGGGAAGGGGCUGGAGAAUCCCUGAGGAGCUGGGAAGGGGCUGGAGAAUCCCUGAGGAGCUGGGAAGGGGCUCAGCCUGGAGCACAGGAGGCUCAGGGGCCCUUGUGGCUCUGCACAGCUCCUGCCAGGAGGGGACAGCCGGGGGUCGGGCUGUGCUCCCCAUGUUGGAUCAGAAUCUCCUCUUUGGCAUAAAAACACCGAUGCUGACCAGGAGCAGGAAGGAUAACAAGGCAGCAGGAAAUAAAAUUCCUACGGACACAGCGGGAGGGAGAACCUUGGAAGAGUUAAAGCCCAUCUCAUUCCAGCCUUGCCACUUUCCACUAGAGCAGGUUGCCCAAGGCUCAUCCAACCUGGCCUGGCGCCUCCUAAUGAUGUUAAUUAAUUCAAAUAUCUCAGGACCUGGUUGUGCUAUAAUGUACAUAUCCAUCAUCUGCUGGCUCUAAUUUAAGAGCAGUUGAUAUAAAUUACCUUUUACUCCACAAGUAAUGGACUAAAUCACAUUUUUGACCCUUUUGCACUUCAGCAUUUGAGGAGAUGACAGAUGUAAAGCAAUAUCACGUAUUUAACAGGAACUUGCAACUAAGAAAAUAACACCCAAAAAUUAUUUCAUGGAAUUUCAAGCAAGGACUGAGCCCUGCUAGGAAAGAUGGACCUUUAAUUUUGCUUGUGCUCAUCCUUUUGUAAAAGGCAGCAAUAAUUUGGAACCAGUGAACUAGAGACCAGAAAGUCCCAGGCAGGCCCAGCUGAGGGUUUUAUACAAUGGUUUUUCUUCUCAGCAAUAUUAUUUUAAAAGAAAUGCAAACCCACUAUCUCUGCUUCAUGAGGUAUAAAGACAAAUAUUUUUGUUUCCCUAUUGCAAGCUCUUCUCAAGUAACCAGACUGGAACUAUCUUUUGGGUGUAAACACUUCUCCCAUGAGCAAACCCACUGAUUGGCUUUAAUUUAUUUAUUGACUUUCUGUAAUUCACAACCCAUUUCCUCAAAGCAGCAUCAGCCAAUUUCGCUCCUUAUUAAAAUAACCGUCUCUUAAUUGAUAAAUUCUAUUUUUAAAGUAUUUCCUGAUUCGAGUAUGGCAGUUUGGGAAAUCUGACUAAACACAACUCAUGUCUGAGGUUAGGAAGCCACUGCAGCUUUCGUUUCCCAGACUUUCACAGCAUAAGCAAAAGCUGUCAAAAGCUGCCACUAGAAAAUCCUUUUAUUUAGAAUAUUUUGAGACAAACAUUUGACAGAGUUUUCUUUCACUUCCCCAUGUGCUACUGCAGUUCAGUUUCCAGCCAACCAGGAAAAAAACAAGUCCCCUACAAAGCUUCCACUAGUGCAAAUUUAUUUAUUUUUGAAGGUUUUUUUCCCCUCCUGUAAGACCCAAACUAAAACUUCCUUGAGCUUACUCCUCUUGAGGAAGACAGAAAACAGGUAAUUCUUCCUUUCAGAGGGCUUUGACGUGAGUUACGUCGUGGUUUCAUCCUGAUCAUCCUUUGUGCAAACUUCAGUUCCCGUUUAUUCUGUCUUUCUUUGCAGAUCAGCUUUCCUGGAGGCCUCCAGGGUGAGCCCUGGCAGGAUUUGGGAACCAGCUGGGAGCAGGGACAGGACAGGAGGCUCAGGCUGGACCAGCAGGAAUAGCCCCAUGGAAAGAGGAUUUGUUUAGAUAAAUACUAGUUUUAGAUGUUGUGAGAUUUUAGAGGAGCAAGUAUUUGGUUAUAGUUUGAGAGAUAUGGAAAUCCAGGAUGUCCUCCAGCCUCAGCACAGCACCCCUCUGCUCAGGCCUCCUCCCUUUGUGGAACCAGAACAACUUUUGGCUUUUGGAGAGGCUUUUAUUAUAAAUACAAACAAGGAAAUGUUUUUAUUUCCCCUCAGCCUCCACAUUUCACCUCAGACUUUCUCCCUCAAAGCACUAUAAAAAUAACAAGGGGCCAGAAGCCUUUCAACGAGUUUCAUGUUGAAAAACAUCAAAAUACCAUAAAAUACCAAGCCCUGAGUGGUUUUGCAAAGCUCAUGAGAAGAUUUCAGUGACCUAUGUGCAUGUUUGGGAUCGAAGUGUGAGCAAGAAACACAGAACUGUUCUCCAGCAGAACAAAACUUCAGCCUUGAGGGUUUAUUUAUUUUAAAUAUGUGACAUUAAAGCAAUUCCUUCCAGCAAUUAUGCUGGAUACACUCACAGAACCUCUGUGUGGCAGUUCAUAAUAAUUCCCUGAUCUCUUAGAAGGAAAAAUUCCUAAUCCCCUGCCUGGUUUUCCAUCCAUGUAAAUUCUCUGAGGAGGAGCAGAGAUGCCAGGCUGGGUUUGGGCUGGCAGGGACCUUAAACCCCAUCCCAUGGCAGGGACACCUCCCACUGUGCCAGGGUUCUCCAGCCUGGCCUUGGGCACUGCCAGGGAUCCAGGGGCAGCCCCAGCUGCUCUGGCAAUUCCAUCCCAGGGCCUGCCCCCCUCCCAGCCAGGAAUUCCUCUGCAAUAUCCAAUCCAAACCCACUUUCCUUUAAUUUCCUUAAGCCAUUCCCUCUUUUCCUGUCCCUCCAUCCCUUGUCCAAACGAUUCGUCUUUUAGGCAAAGAACACCAGGAGUUUGCACCACAGCAAGCACAGGGAAGUUUCCAAAAUAAAAAGUAAGAGCACAGAACUCAUAAAAGCCGUGAUAUUCCCAAGGUAUGACUCUUCAUUUAUGCAAAUCUGUAAUUACUUUAUAAUCAAAGCCUGGUUUGAGAGGCAGAACUGACACCGGGCCAGCAGGGGCAGA